rnacentral:rRNA from 1 species
GUGGGGGAUAUUGCACAAUGGAGGAAACUCUGAUGCAGCGACGCCGCGUGAGUGAAGAAGUAUUUCGGUAUGUAAAGCUCUAUCAGCAGGGAAGAUAAUGACAGUACCUGACUAAGAAGCCCCGGCUAACUACGUGCCAGCAGCCGCGGUAAUACGUAGGGGGCAAGCGUUAUCCGGAUUUACUGGGUGUAAAGGGAGCGUAGACGGAAUGGCAAGUCUGAAGUGAAAUCCUGCGGCUUAACUGCAGAAUUGCUUUGGAAACUGUCAAUCUGGAGUGUUGGAGAGGUAAGCGGAAUUCCUGGUGUAGCGGUGAAAUGCGUAGAUAUCAGGAAGAACACCGGAGGCGAAGGCGGCUUACUGGACAAUAACUGACGUUGAGGCUCGAAAGCGUGGGAAGCAAACAGGAUUAGAUACCCCAGUAGUCC